AAAGACUUAAGUUAAAAAACUAAUAACCUUCAAAGUUACAAUUAAAGGAAAGUCUUUUAGGCCUUA
rnacentral:tRNA from 1 species